rnacentral:rRNA from 2 species
UGCAGUCGACGACUCUGGUAUUGAUUGGUGCUUGCAUCAUGAUUUACAUUUGAGUGAGUGGCGAACUGGUGAGUAACACGUGGGAAACCUGCCCAGAAGCGGGGGAUAACACCUGGAAACAGAUGCUAAUACCGCAUAACAACUUGGACCGCAUGGUCCGAGUUUGAAAGAUGGCUUCGGCUAUCACUUUUGGAUGGUCCCGCGGCGUAUUAGCUAGAUGGUGGGGUAACGGCUCACCAUGGCAAUGAUACGUAGCCGACCUGAGAGGGUAAUCGGCCACAUUGGGACUGAGACACGGCCCAAACUCCUACGGGAGGCAGCAGUAGGGAAUCUUCCACAAUGGACGAAAGUCUGAUGGAGCAACGCCGCGUGAGUGAAGAAGGGUUUCGGCUCGUAAAACUCUGUUGUUAAAGAAGAACAUAUCUGAGAGUAACUGUUCAGGUAUUGACGGUAUUUAACCAGAAAGCCACGGCUAACUACGUGCCAGCAGCCGCGGUAAUACGUAGGUGGCAAGCGUUGUCCGGAUUUAUUGGGCGUAAAGCGAGCGCAGGCGGUUUUUUAAGUCUGAUGUGAAAGCCUUCGGCUCAACCGAAGAAGUGCAUCGGAAACUGGGAAACUUGAGUGCAGAAGAGGACAGUGGAACUCCAUGUGUAGCGGUGAAAUGCGUAGAUAUAUGGAAGAACACCAGUGGCGAAAGCGGCUGUCUGGUCUGUAACUGACGCUGAGGCUCGAAAGUAUGGGUAGCAAACAGGAUUAGAUACCCUGGUAGUCCAUACCGUAACGAUGAAUGCUAAGUGUUGGAGGGUUUCCGCCCUUCAGUGCUGCAGCUAACGCAUAAGCAUCGCCUGGGGAGUACGCGCAGCUGAAACUCAA